UACGUAGGGGGCAAGCGUUGUCCGGAUUUAUUGGGCGUAAAGAGCGUGUAGGCGGCUUUGCAAGUCCGUUGUGAAAACUCGAGGCUCAACCUCGAGACGCCGGUGGAAACUGCAAAGCUAGAGUCCGGAAGAGGAGAGUGGAAUUCCUGGUGUAGCGGUGAAAUGCGCAGAUAUCAGGAAGAACACCCGUGGCGAAGGCGGCUCACUGGUCCGGUACUGACGCUGAGGAGCGAAAGUGUGGGGAGCGAACAGG
rnacentral:rRNA from 1 species